rnacentral:lncRNA from 1 species
UUCUAAAAAUUAAAACUCAAUAAAUAUAAUUAAAGGAAUGGUUUUCUGUGAGAGCAAACUGGUAAUGGAUUGAAUCUAUUUUAAAAAUUCCACACUUAUGUGUUUAGCCAAGAGAAGUCAAUCAAGUACAGGUCCACAAAAUGAUUUGUUCUUUAAUAUCCCCAAAAGCUUUUAUUAGUAAUAUACUGUGGUGAUUAAUCUUCCUUGUCAACUACACUGUAUUUAUAAUUUAUGCUGAUUAUACAUGGCUCUAUCUGUGUCUAUAAAGGUAUUCCCAGGUUUCAUUGAGCAGCAAAGACCCAGUCUGAAUAUGGGCAGCCGUCUCCCCACAAGCUGGGGUCUCAGACUGAAUAAAAGGGAGAAAUGAAGCUGAAUGCCAGCAGUGAUCUCCUUUGCUUCCUGGAUGUGGCUGCAAUGUGCCCAGUCUGUCAUCACCAAGAGGGACAAUAUUCUCAAACAAUGAACCACAAAUAUUCUCUUCCUUAAGUUGCUUUUGUCAGGCUUUAUGCUAUUGUACAAGGAAAGGAGCUGAUGGUAACAGUUCCCAAUCUGCAAACAACCCAGACGCCAGCAGAAGAAGGGGUCAACACACUGGGUUAUAUUUUUAUAUCACAGGACUCCAUUAAUGAACAGUCCAAGGGCAAGCAAACACUCAUAAAGAUAGAACUCAGGAGUACUGCUUCCAGCUGUGUAGGGGGCAGGUGGGCAUGGGCUUGAAAGGCAUAAGUGAGCAUCCAUGGGCAAUGGAAAUGUUCUGUAUCUUGCUUUGAGUAGUGAGUUGGCAUAUACAUUUUCAAAACCUAUUAAAUUGUACUGGAGGCCUAUGUGUUAUAUCUAUCCUCUAUCUAUCUAUCUAUCUAUCUAUCUAUCUAUCUAUCAUCUAUCUAUCUAUCUAUCUAUCUAUCUAUCUAUCUAUGAAUGAAGAAGUACAUCUCAAAAAGUAACAUAAUGUUGUGUUUUUGCAACCUGGUUACUCAAAAGAGACUCUCAAGAGAACCAUGUCUGAUGAGUCAUAUUUUCUUUCUCACUUCCUUUGCUUCUUUUGGAUCGUACUUAAUUAAAGCUUACAUACGUCAGUGUGAGUGGUUGUCUCAGACACUGCACUCUAGGUCUAAAGACUUUUAUUUUGAUAUGUAGUUUAUGGCUCCCCAUAUCAUCCCAAAGCUACAUCAGAUUAGAAGAUGGUAAGACAUACACAGACAGGCAUGUAAGCGAACUGUGUAGGUACAUAUUGUGACACUAGGAAGACAAAGGGAUGCUGACCUAAGAAUUCUAAAGAGUGUGAGCCUGGGAAAACGAUAAAAUCAAGCUGUUGUAUGUUUGGGCUUCGAGUCUUAAAGUUUAGCCUGUUUUAAAUGCAAGGCACAAUGACUAUUCCAUAAAGAAGUGUCUUAAUGAUGUAAUGGUUUUUAAACAAUGACUAUAAAAUAAAUAAUUGAGUUUUUAUAUGU